GCCGCCGUCUUCAACGACCUAGGACGCGGCCCUCUCAAGGCUGAAACACGGGUUCGAAUCCCGUAGGGAGCGCCA
rnacentral:tRNA from 1 species